rnacentral:pre_miRNA from 1 species
AAAAAGACAAACCCUGGGUUUCCAUGUCCAACUUUGAUUGUCCGUCUUAUAUGAAAUUUUUUUAUAAUUCGUAUUUUCAUUAUUGUUAGAUGAUAAAACAUGAUUAAUAUUUUAUGCGUGACUUGUCUUUUUAUUUUUUUAUAAUUUUUUUAAAUAAGACGGACGGUCAAACGUUGGACACGGAAACCAGGGUUUGUCUUUUU